rnacentral:rRNA from 1 species
UGCGAAUGGCUCAUUAAAUCAGUUAUCGUUUAUUUGAUAGUACCUUACUACUUGGAUAACCGUGGUAAUUCUAGAGCUAAUACAUGCUAAAAAUCCCGACCUCUGGAAGGGAUGUAUUUAUUAGAUAAAAAACCAAUGCCUUCGGGCUUCUUGGUGAUUCAUGAUAACUUUACGAAUCGCAUGGCCUUGUGCUGGCGAUGGUUCAUUCAAAUUUCUGCCCUAUCAACUUUCGAUGGUAGGAUAGUGGCCUACCAUGGUUUCAACGGGUAACGGGGAAUUAGGGUUCGAUUCCGGAGAGGGAGCCUGAGAAACGGCUACCACAUCCAAGGAAGGCAGCAGGCGCGCAAAUUACCCAAUCCCGACACGGGGAGGUAGUGACAAUAAAUACUGAUACAGGGCCCUUUUGGGUCUUGUAAUUGGAAUGAGUACAAUUUAAACCCUUUAACGAGGAACAAUUGGAGGGCAAGUCUGGUGCCAGCAGCCGCGGUAAUUCCAGCUCCAAUAGCGUAUAUUAAAGUUGUUGCAGUUAAAAAGCUCGUAGUUGAACUUUGGGUCUGGGUGACUGGUCUGCGUCUACCGCAUGUACUGGAAACCCGGAUCUUUCCUUCUGGAGAACCGCAUGCACUUCACUGGGUGUGCCGGGGAACCAGGACUUUUACUUUGAAAAAAUUAGAGUGUUCAAAGCAGGCAUUUGCUCGAAUACAUUAGCAUGGAAUAAUAAAAUAGGACGUGCGGUUCUAUUUUGUUGGUUUCUAGGACCGCCGUAAUGAUUAAUAGGGAUAGUCGGGGGCAUCCGUAUUCGAUUGUCAGAGGUGAAAUUCUUGGAUUUUUCGAAGACGAACUACUGCGAAAGCAUUUGCCAAGGAUGUUUUCAUUAAUCAGGAACGAAAGUUGAGGGAUCGAAGACGAUCAGAUACCGUCGUAGUCUCAACCAUAAACUAUGCCGACUAGGGAUUGGGCGACUGUGUUUUUUGAGUUGCUCAGCACCUUACGAGAAAUUAAAGUUUUUGGGUUCUGGGGGGAGUAUGGUCGCAAGGCUGAAACUUAAAGGAAUUGACGGAAGGGCACCACCAGGAGUGGAGCCUGCGGCUUAAUUUGACUCAACACGGGGAAACUCACCAGGUCCAGACACAUUAAGGAUUGACAGAUUGAGAGCUCUUUCUUGAUCAUGUGGGUGGUGGUGCAUGGCCGUUCUUAGUUGGUGGAGUGAUUUGUCUGCUUAAUUGCGAUAACGAACGAGACCUUAACCUGCUAAAUAGCUGGGCUCGCUUUCGCGGGUUCUUGGCU